rnacentral:rRNA from 1 species
AAUUCGACGCAACGCGCAGUAACCUUACCUGGUCUUGACAUCUCGGGAAUCAUUUGGAAACAUAUGAGUGCCUCGCAAGAGGAGCCCGAUGACAGGUGCUGCAUGGCUGUCGUCAGCUCGUGUCGUGAGAUGUUGGGUUAAGUCCCGCAACGAGCGCAACCCUUGUCUUUAGUUGCCAUCAUUAAGUUGGGCACUCUGAAGAGACUGCCGGUGUCAAACCGGAGGAAGGUGGGGAUGACGUCAAGUCCUCAUGGCCUUUAUGACCAGGGCUACACACGUACUACAAUGGCCGGUACAAAGGGCAGCGACACAGCGAUGUGAAGCCAAUCCCGAAAAGCCGGUCUCAGUCCGGAUUGGAGUCUGCAACUCGACUCCAUGAAGUUGGAAUCGCUAGUAAUCGUGGAUCAGCACGCCACGGUGAAUACGUUCCCGGGCCUU